rnacentral:tRNA from 1 species
GCUGGCGUAGCUCAGCGGUAGAGCAACGGUUUCGUAAACCGUAGGUCGUGGGUUCAAAUCCCACCGCCAGCUCCU